AAGGGGUCUAAGACAGGGUGGCAACCCAUGUCAAGAAACUGGGGCCAGAACUGGCAAAGCAAUGCAAUCCUCAAUGAGCAAAGCCUAUCUUUUCAGGUCACCACAAGUGAUGGUAGGACAGUGACAAGCUACAAUAUUGUGCCUGCUAACUGGCAAUUUGGGCAAACAUUUGAGGGUGGUCAAUUUUAGAGUUCUUUUUCAGGACAAGCAACUUAAUUUAUUUGCUAGUAUUGUAGAAUUGUUUGCGAGGAUGGGAGGGGGUUUAGGGUAUAGGAGAAGGUUGGCCCAUGUGGCUGGCUGUUGCUGAGGUGGUAUAUUGGCACCCGCUAGGCCUUUUUUUAUAACAAGAAAAAUGAAAUGAUUGUGAGAUGUUAGUUCUCCCCAAUUUGGUUUUUAAUCCCAGUUGGGGUAAUUUAUGUAACAAAUAUAUAUAUAUAUAUAUAGUGUUUACAUUUGGCAUGCAUGUUAAUUUAGAGUUUACAGAAAUGAACACUGGGACAAAAAUCAUGAUUUAAGGGGAUUGAACCGAACCGAGUUGAGUUUGGGUUCGGUUUAUUGUAUAAUCCUAAAUUGUCAAGUAGGUAGCUCUUUCAAUUCUAUCAACAGAAAAUCAAAGCAAGUUCUUCCAUUUAAUUCAGCCAAACUUAAUUAUAACUAUACAAGAAAGAAAAUAAACAAAUCAUCUAAACUAGCAUACUUCAAAUUAAAAAGCCGAAUCUCACUCUACGACUCAAAGCCUCAAUUAAUCAAAAAAUGCAUACACAAUUCAGCAACAUUCAAAAGAAAGGCACAUCUCCGUUAUAAAGCAAAUCCAGCUUAUGACCUGUGAUAUUUAAGGAAAUUAAGCAAUACCCAGAUAGGAAUUUGGACAGACAAAGCUUAAUCAAUAGAAUUAAGAACAUAACCAGAUGCAAAGAAUAGAAAGCUAGCCAACUUUAAUCAAUUUUAUAUAUGAACCCAUAUUAAAAUUUGCAGAUAUUAAGCAGUGGGGCCAUAUAAUUAUGAUUCAAUUACCUAAACCAAGCACCAUUACACAGAGAAAGAGAGAGAGAACGAGAGAGAGAGUCUAAUUUCAGUUGAUCAACAGAUAAAUUUUAAUAGCUUGGUAAAGGAAAAUCAUAAAAACCCAGGAAGACAUUUGAGUAAAAAAGUCAAUAGGGCAGCGAAAAUCAGAACGAACUUAGAAAAAAAAAAAAG
rnacentral:misc_RNA from 1 species